GGGAGCUCUGGCAUUUGACGAUUUUGUAUACUUGCUCGGGUAAAAUCAAUCUACCUUUGCUUAUCGUACUUCAUUUGCUCGGCUACUUCAUUCUUAGGUCAGUUCUUUUCUCCUUAGCCAUGAGUGAGUCUAGCUUGUCUCCCGACACCUAGAGCUCAGAUGACGAUUUUAGGAGUAUGGGUCCCGAGAUGUUGAGCUCGGAGAA
rnacentral:lncRNA from 1 species